GAUGAGCCCGCGGCCUAUCAGCUAGUUGGUGAGGUAACGGCUCACCAAGGCAAAGACGGGUAGCUGGUCUGAGAGGACGACCAGCCACACUGGAACUGAGAGACGGUCCAGACACCUACGGGUGGCAGCAGUCGAGAAUUUUUCACAAUGGGCGCAAGCCUGAUGGAGCGACGCCGCGUGGGGGAUGAAGGGCUUCGGCUCGUAAACCCCUGUCAUUUGCGAACAAACCUCAUUCAUGAACAGUGGAUGAGUUGAUUGUAGUGAAAGAGGAAGGGACGGCUAACUCUGUGCCAGCAGCCGCGGUAAUACAGAGGUCCCGAGCGUUGUUCGGAUUCACUGGGCGUAAAGGGUGCGUAGGUGGUGGGGUAAGUCUCGUGUGAAAGCUCGCAGCUCAACUGCGAAACGUCACGGGAUACUAUUCUGCUAGAGGCUUGGAGGGGGGACUGGAAUUCUCGGUGUAGCAGUGAAAUGCGUAGAUAUCGAGAGG
rnacentral:rRNA from 1 species